GUAGAUAUAAUUUACUAAAAAUAUUAGACUGUGAAUCUAAAAACAGAAGCUUACCCUUCUUUUCUACC
rnacentral:tRNA from 1 species